CACACACACUACUACAGCAACGACCUACAGCACGCUUAGGUGGUCCCCACACACACACACUACUACAGCAACGGCCUACAGCACGCUUAGGUGGUCCCCACACACACACACUACUACAGCAACGGCCUACAGCACGCUUAGGUGGUCCCCACACACACACACUACUACAGCAACGGCCUACAGCACGCUUAGGUGGUCCCCACACACACACACUACUACAGCAACGGCCUACAGCACGCUUAGGUGGUCCACACACACACUUCUACAGCAACGACCUACAGCACGCUUAGGUGGUCCCCACACACACACUCACACACACAUACUUCUACAGCAACGACCCACAGCACGCUUAGGUGGUCCCCACACACAUACACA